ACAGAAAUUCCUACCAAAGUUAUGAUCUAUCAUGCUAUAGUUUGGGCUAUUAUUGAACACAAGAGGUACCAGAAACAAGUUAUGGACAGUUGAUGUCUUAAAAGUGUGAGGAUCUGUAGGAAAUUUGAAAAGGUCAAAUACCAUUUUGGAUAUCAUCAUCCACUGGGCAAUGAUACUGAAGUUUAGAUUGUGAGUUUCAAAGGUGACAAAUGCAACCGGUAUGAUGAAUCCCGCGAAUUGUAUGAAUUGGUCUUGACGGUAUUACCGAACCGACGUCUCAUCAAUAGUAUGGGCAUUUGCAAUGAAGCCUUGUAUAAUGAGCAUUUGUAACAUGCAGGCUCAACAUAAGAUAGUAAAUAGCUUAACGAUUAUUCCCGCCGGCUUAACGAAGGAGUGUAAAAUUGCUUAACGAACGCCUUGUAGUAUGGACAUUUGUUACGUGUUUAUACGACGAAUUUUGUUAAGAUUU